GACGUAGGAUGCGAGCGUUGUCCGGAAUUAUUGGGCGUAAAGCGUUCGUAGGCGGCAUGCCAAGUCUGGUGUUAAAUCCCGGAGCUCAACUCCGGUUCGGCAUUGGAUACUGGCAAGCUGGAGUGCAGAAGAGGCAAAGGGAAUUCCUAGUGUAGCGGUGAAAUGCGUAGAUAUUAGGAGGAACACCGGUGGCGUAAGCGCUUUGCUGGUCUGUAACUGACGCUGAGGAACGAAAGCCAGGGGAG
rnacentral:rRNA from 1 species